GACGUAGGGCGCGAGCGUUGUCCGGAUUUAUUGGGCGUAAAGAGCUCGUAGGCGGCCUGUUGCGUCCGCUGUGAAAUCCCGGGGCUCAACCCCGGGCGUGCAGUGGAUACGGGCUGGCUGGAGGCAGGCAGGGGAGAACGGAAUUCCUGGUGUAGCGGUGAAAUGCGCAGAUAUCAGGAGGAACACCGGUGGCGAAGGCGGUUCUCUGGGCCUGUACUGACGCUGAGGAGCGAAAGCCAGGGGAGCAAACGGG
rnacentral:rRNA from 1 species